UACAGGGGGGGCAAGCGUUGUUCGGAAUUACUGGGCGUAAAGGGCUCGUAGGCGGCCAACUAAGUCACACGUGAAAUCCCCAGGCUUAACCUGGGAACUGCGUGUGAUACUGGAUGGCUUGAAUCCGGGAGAGGGAUGCGGAAUUCCAGGUGUAGCGGUGAAAUGCGUAGAUAUCUGGAGGAACACCGGUGGCGAAGGCGGCAUCCUGGACCGGCAUUGACGCUGAACAGCGAAAGCCAGGGGAGCAAAGCGGGG
rnacentral:rRNA from 1 species